rnacentral:rRNA from 1 species
UACGGAGGAUCCAAGCGUUAUCCGGAAUCAUUGGGCGUAAAGAGCUCGUAGGCGGUGUGUCGCGUCGGCCGUGAAAACCUGGGGCUCAACUCUGGGCGUGCGGUCGAUACGGGCAUCACUUGAGUUCGGCAGGGGAGACUGGAAUUCCUGGUGUAGCGGUGAAAUGCGCAGAUAUCAGGAGGAACACCGGUGGCGAAGGCGGGUCUCUGGGCCGAUACUGACGCUGAGGAGCGAAAGCAUGGGUAGCGAACAGG